rnacentral:rRNA from 1 species
UACGAAGGGGGCUAGCGUUGCUCGGAAUGACUGGGCGUAAAGGGCGCGUAGGCGGUUUGUACAGUCAGGUGUGAAAUUCCCCGGGCUUAACCUGGGGGCUGCAUUUGAUACGUGUUGUCUAGAGUGAGGAAGAGGGUUGUGGAAUUCCCAGUGUAGAGGUGAAAAUUCGUAGAUAUUGGGAAGAACACCGGUGGCGAAGGCGGCAACCUGGUCCUUGACUGACGCUGAGGCGCGAAAGCGUGGGGAGCAAACAGG